rnacentral:misc_RNA from 1 species
GAUGAAGAACGCAGCGAAAUGCGAUAAGUAAUGUGAAUUGCAGAAUUCAGUGAAUCAUCGAAUCUUUGAACGCACCUUGCACUCCUUGGUAUUCCGAGGAGUACGCCUGUUCGAGUGUUAUGAAGCUCUCAAAACGCAAUUGGCUUAAAACCUGAUUGUUGUUUUGGAUUUGAACUUUGCCGUGUUAUAACGGCUGGUUUUAAAAGUAUUAGCUGGUACUAGAACGAAUUGGUUCUACUCAACGUGAUAAUUAUCUGAUCGUUGAGGACAUUCCUUUCACGAGGAAUGGCCAUAGUAAAUUCAAUGGACUGCUUCUAAUCUGGCUUUAAUUCUUUAUUGGAUUAACCACUUUUCAAAUCUGACCUCGAAUCAGGUGGGACUACCCGCUGAACUUAAGCAUAUCAAUAACGGAGGA